CACGAAACAUGAAUUUGAAAAUAAUUAAAUGUAUUUUUAACAUUACUGAAAAGGAUCGUCAGAAUAAAAAUGAAAUAAAUAAGUAGUCAGAAUAUGGGUUGAUUCCAAAUGUAUUGCUAUAAUCCAUUAGUUUAGAAAAGCAUGGAUCUACGAGGCAAGCCAAAAAGGACACAGAUGGUGGCUAAAGUUGGGCAGUUGGUGCCAAACUUCUUCUUUGUCUUUAUCCAUAAACACAAAAUAGAAAGUGCAGACUCCCAGUAGGCAGCAGUCUGCCACCUACUGGCAGAGUGAACACCAUACUUGUGUAACGGAGUUUAAAAGACAUCUGAAAAACAUGCACUUACCUGGUCUUAAUUAUUAUUUUAAGUGUGAAUUUUAUCAUUUUUUGUUGUAUUUUAUUUUGAAAACCCAGAAACCGGAUCUCACUCUAGCGUUUGGAAGCUGCUAAGGCUUCCGCUCCUCACAGCGCGCGUUUGCACUGUGAGGGUAAGUUCUGUAAUGAAAGGCUCUGGCAUUUUUAUGGUUUCUGGUGUGAAUGUUGUUACAUAAGUUGUACAUGUCGAUGUAUAUAGGUUUAUAUUGAUGUUAGGAUGUUACUGUGUAACCGAAACAAAGGCUGGUUGCUGUUAAACAGUGUUUCUGCCGUAUUUAUGCUCUUUGGCAGUAAGCUUUUGUCGGCCCCCUAGUGGUUGCUGCGCAUAGCAGUAAAUGUGUUUGGAUUUACUGUUUUUCUGUGCUUUUUGUGAUGUUGUUUUACAUUGUAGGAGCUACAAUUGCUGGUACCACCAGAAGACACAUGUUAAGUGUUUUCUAUGUCUUCUGCAGGAAUAAACCGUGAACAGCCAACCUUUCUGAGUGUCUGUGGUUCAUGAAGAACGGAAGCGUUACACUUGGUGAUGCUCUUAAUGCAAUAGAAAAUGAGACCCAUUCUCGGUGGGUGCCCUUUGUCAUUCUGUUCAU
rnacentral:lncRNA from 1 species